GCCCCAGUGCGGCAGGGGGACCCCAUCUGAAGCUGGGGCCCACGUCCUGGCCUGGGACCCCGGGGCCCGUGAGGGUCGGGUCGGACUCAGUGACCUCAGGAACCAGCUCGCGGUGAAACGGCCCGGGGUGGCCUGGGGUCACCUACCGGAACCUUCCACCAGCACCACAUUCCCCGACUGCCAGCACUUCCGAAGGCCACAAGAUCACCGAGCAUCCAGCACCCCAAGGCCGGCAGGACCAGAGGGAGGGCGAGCCCUCCUUCAGGGCCCAUGUGUCCCCCCCAGGCCCCGGGAGAGCCGGGCCCCAUGACGGACAAUGCCGGGGACCCCCGCAGCCCCGCAUCCCCCCAGCCCCCCUCGCCGUCACCGCCGGGGCACUCCUGGAUGGAUGAAGGGGGCCACCCCAGAAGAGGAGGUGCCUCGGCCCCCAGGCUGCCCCCCGGGGUGCCCGUGAUCAGCCUGGCCCACAGCCGUCCCCCGGUGACUGCGCUGAGCCUCCUGAGGGGGCCCCUGCUGCCUCUGCCCCCCCUGGCCCUGCAUGGCCCCCCUCACACCUUCCUCAACAGUCUCUGCAUCGGGCCGGUGGGUGCCUUCAACCUGUUCCCCAGCGGCGGCCGGCUGAAACGGAGGCCCAGCCUGGGGGAGCCGGAGCUGACCGAGGGCCAUCACCAGCCCCAGAAGGUGGCCCGUCGGGUGUUCACCAACAGCCGGGAGCGCUGGCGCCAGCAGAACGUGAACGGGGCCUUCGCCGAGCUGCGGAAGCUGCUGCCCACUCACCCGCCCGACCGCAAGCUGAGCAAGAACGAGGUGCUGCGGCUGGCGCUGCGGUACAUCGCCUUCCUGCUGGGGCUGCUGCGGGACCAGGCCCAGGCCGCGCCCCCCGACGGCGCCCUCAAGGCCGAGCCGGGGGCCCUGAGCCCCGGGGUGCGGUGACCCCGCCGCCGCCCACCGGGAGAGGACGCCAGGACCCCAGCCCGGCAGCCUUUGGACAAAGGGGCCCCCCAGAAGCCCAGCCCUCUGACAAUGAGGCACCCCCAAAACCUCAGCCGUCCAGCAAAGGACACCCCCAGGACCCAGCCCUCUGACAACGGGCACCCCCAAAACCUCAGCUGUCCAGCAAAGGGCACCCCCAGAACCUCAGCCGUCCAGCAAAGGGCACCCCCAGAACCCAGCCCUCUGACAACGGGCACUCCCAAAACCUCAGCCGUCCAGCAAAGGGCACCCCCCAGAACCCAGCCCUCUGGCAAAGGGCACCCCCAAAACCUCAGCCAUCCAGCAAAGGACACCCCCAGGACCCCAGCCCUCUGACAAUGAAUGUCCCCUUGCCCUCUGACAAUGGGCACUCCCAAAACCUCAGCCAUCCAGCAAAGGGCACCCCCAGAACCUCAGCCGUCCAGCAAAGGGCACCCCCAGAACCUCAGCCAUCCAGCAAAGGGCACCCCUAUAACCCAGCCCUCUGGCAAGGGGCACCCCAAAACCUCAGCCAUCCAGCAAAAGGCACCCCCAGAACCCCAGCCCUCUGACAAUGAGUGUCCCCCUGCCCUCUGACAACGGGCACCCCCAAAACCUCAGCCGUCCAGCAAAAGGCACCCCCAGAACCCCAGCCCUCUGACAAUGGGUGUCCAGGAUGGAUAUGCCAGUGGCUCCCCAAACCCUGUGGCCCCCCACUUCCUUCACCCCCCCACUGCUGUCUGAGGAGCACCCCCAACAGGAGAGACAGAUAACGAACACUGGCAUAGUGUCCCAUAGCACCCCCAGCCCCCUCCUCAUGGCGCCCCUCGUCUCUCUCAGAGAGGAAGUCCCUAAACUACAGAGCUGAGCAGCCAUGAUCCCCCCCUCACCGGCUGAGGGUAUCCAAGAAACAGAUGGACACUGGGGAUCCCCCCUCCCUCCCUCGAGGGGACACCCCCUAAGUACCAGAACUGAACGGCCCGUGCCCCCCACCGCCCCCCCAUCUGGGGUGCUCAAAGAGCUCCCAUCCCCCCAAAUAAAGGAGAAAGACACAGAAUAAUGGACAGUGGGGACCCCCCUUCCCCAAAUCCUUCUAACUGGGGGUGGGGAUGACGCCCACGGACAGGUUCCAGACCACACUCACUUUUUUUUUUUUUAAUUUUUUUUUUGCUUUAUUUUUAUUUUUUUGUUCUGUUUUUUAAUUUUUUUUUUUGUUUUCACAUACACAUUAGCCAUUCAAUGGAGAAGCCGGAGAGAGAGAGAAAGAGAGAGAGAGAGAAAGAGAGAGAGAGAGAUAGAAGUCAGGCAAAGAUGGUGGAGGGAGGGGUUUGAGGGGAUUUGGGGGGGGGAGGAAGGAAGGACAGACUCACUGCCUACUUCUUCCAGGACUCCGAGGACCCAGACAGAGAAACUGCACAGCAAACUACCCUUGAUUCUGAAUGCUUCUCAGUGCAGACUGGGAAGUGGAGAGAUAGAUAAGAGGGGAGGGGGAGGGCAGACCAGGCUGGAAGUGGAGGUGUAGAG